rnacentral:rRNA from 1 species
UUGUGGUUAAAAAGCUCGUAGUUGGAUCUCAACAGCCUUGAAGCGGUUAACUUUGUAGUUUUACUGCUUUAUAGGCUGUGCUUUUGCUGGAGGUUUAGGGGUGCUCUUGAUCGAGUGUCUCUGGAUGCCAGCAGGUUUACUUUGAAAAAAUUAGAGUGCUCAAAGCAGGCUAAAAUGCCUGAAUAUUCGUGCAUGGAAUAAUAGAAUAGGAUGUCGAUCCUAUUUUGUUGGUUUUCGGGACUCGACAUAAUGAUAAAUAGGGACAGUCGGGGGCAUUUGUAUUCAAACGACAGAGGUGAAAUUCUUGGACCGUUUGAAGACAAACUACUACGAAAGCAUUUGCCAAGAAUGUUUUCAUUAAUCAAGAACGAAAGUUAGAGGUUCGAAGGCGAUUAGAUACCGCCCUAGUUCUAACCAUAAACGAUGCCAGCUAGCGAUCUGCCUGCGU